rnacentral:rRNA from 1 species
AGGAAGUAAAAAACGUAACAAGGUCUCCGUAGGUGAACCAGCGGAGGGAUCAUUACCGAGUUUACAACUCCCAAACCCAAUGUGAACGUUACCAAACUGUUGCCUCGGCGGGGUCACGCCCCGGGUGCGUCGCAGCCCCGGAACCAGGCGCCCGCCGGAGGAACCAACCAAACUCUUUCUGUAGUCCCCUCGCGGACGUAUUUCUUUACAGCUCUGAGCAAAAAUUCAAAAUGAAUCAAAACUUUCAACAACGGAUCUCUUGGUUCUGGCAUCGAUGAAGAACGCAGCGAAAUGCGAUAAGUAAUGUGAAUUGCAGAAUUCAGUGAAUCAUCGAAUCUUUGAACGCACAUUGCGCCCGCCAGUAUUCUGGCGGGCAUGCCUGUCCGAGCGUCAUUUCAACCCUCGAACCCCUCCGGGGGAUCGGCGUUGGGGAUCGGGACCCCUCACACGGGUGCCGGCCCCUAAAUACAGUGGCGGUCUCGCCGCAGCCUCUCCUGCGCAGUAGUUUGCACAACUCGCACCGGGAGCGCGGCGCGUCCACGUCCGUAAAACACCCAACUUUCUGAAAUGUUGACCUCGGAUCAGGUAGGAAUACCCGCUGAACUUAAGCAUAUCAAUAAGCGGAAGAAAAGAAACCAACAGGGAUUGCCCCAGUAACGGCGAGUGAAGCGGCAACAGCUCAAAUUUGAAAUCUGGCCCCUCCGGGUCCGAGUUGUAAUUUGUAGAGGAUGCUUUUGGUGAGGUGCCGCCCGAGUUCCCUGGAAC